rnacentral:rRNA from 1 species
AUUGAACGCUGGCGGCAGGCUUAACACAUGCAAGUCGAGCGGGGUGAUGGUGCUUGCACUAUCACUUAGCGGCGGACGGGUGAGUAAUGCUUAGGAAUCUGCCUAUUAGUGGGGGACGACAUCUCGAAAGGGAUGCUAAUACCGCAUACGUCCUACGGGAGAAAGCAGGGGAUCACUUGUGACCUUGCGCUAAUAGAUGAGCCUAAGCCGGAUCAGCUAGUUGGUGGGGUUAAGGCCUACCAAGGCGACGAUCUGUAGCGGGUCUGAGAGGAUUAUCCGCCACACUGGGACUGGGACACGGCCCAGACUCCUACGGGAGGCAGCAGUGGGGAAUAUUGGACAAUGGGGGGAACCCUGAUCCAGCCAUGCCGCGUGUGUGAAGAAGGCCUUAUGGUUGUAAAGCACUUUAAGCGAGGAGGAGGCUCUUUUGGUUAAUACCCAGAAUGAGUGGACGUUACUCGCAGAAUAAGCACCGGCUAACUCUGUGCCAGCAGCCGCCGUAA